rnacentral:rRNA from 1 species
AGAGUUUGAUCAUGGCUCAGAUUGAACGCUGGCGGCAGGCCUAACACAUGCAAGUCGAGCGGAAACGAGUUAUCAGAACCUUCGGGGAACGAUAACGGCGUCGAGCGGCGGACGGGUGAGUAAUGCCUAGGAAAUUGCCCUGAUGUGGGGGAUAACCAUUGGAAACGAUGGCUAAUACCGCAUGAUGCCUACGGGCCAAAGAGGGGGACCUUCGGGCCUCUCGCGUCAGGAUAUGCCUAGGUGGGAUUAGCUAGUUGGUGAGGUAAGGGCUCACCAAGGCGACGAUCCCUAGCUGGUCUGAGAGGAUGAUCAGCCACACUGGAACUGAGACACGGUCCAGACUCCUACGGGAGGCAGCAGUGGGGAAUAUUGCACAAUGGGCGCAAGCCUGAUGCAGCCAUGCCGCGUGUGUGAAGAAGGCCUUCGGGUUGUAAAGCACUUUCAGUCGUGAGGAAGGUAGUGUAGUUAAUAGCUGCAUUAUUUGACGUUAGCGACAGAAGAAGCACCGGCUAACUCCGUGCCAGCAGCCGCGGUAAUACGGAGGGUGCGAGCGUUAAUCGGAAUUACUGGGCGUAAAGCGCAUGCAGGUGGUUUGUUAAGUCAGAUGUGAAAGCCCGGGGCUCAACCUCGGAAUUGCAUUUGAAACUGGCAGACUAGAGUACUGUAGAGGGGGGUAGAAUUUCAGGUGUAGCGGUGAAAUGCGUAGAGAUCUGAAGGAAUACCGGUGGCGAAGGCGGCCCCCUGGACAGAUACUGACACUCAGAUGCGAAAGCGUGGGGAGCAAACAGGAUUAGAUACCCUGGUAGUCCACGCCGUAAACGAUGUCUACUUGGAGGUUGUGGCCUUGAGCCGUGGCUUUCGGAGCUAACGCGUUAAGUAGACCGCCUGGGGAGUACGGUCGCAAGAUUAAAACUCAAAUGAAUUGACGGGGCCCGCACAAGCGGUGGAGCAUGUGGUUUAAUU